AACGAACGCUGGCGGCAGGCCUAACACAUGCAAGUCGAACGCCCUAGCAAUAGGGAGUGGCAGACGGGUGAGUAACACGUGGGAACGUGCCCUUCGGUUCGGAAUAACUCAGGGAAACUUGAGCUAAUACCGGAUACGUGCGAGAGCAGAAAGAUUUAUCGCCGAAGGAUCGGCCCGCGUCCGAUUAGCUAGUUGGUGAGGUAAUGGCUCACCAAGGCGACGAUCGGUAGCUGGUCUGAGAGGAUGACCAGCCACACUGGGACUGAGACACGGCCCAGACUCCUACGGGAGGCAGCAGUGGGGAAUAUUGGACAAUGGGCGCAAGCCUGAUCCAGCCAUGCCGCGUGAGUGAUGAAGGCCCUAGGGUUGUAAAGCUCUUUCGCCAGGGACGAUAAUGACGGUACCUGGAUAAGAAGCCCGGCUAACUUCGUGCCAGCAGCCGCGG
rnacentral:rRNA from 1 species